rnacentral:rRNA from 1 species
UAGGAAUCUUGCGCAAUGGGCGAAAGCCUGACGCAGCGACGCCGCGUGACUGAUGAAGUCCUUCGGGAUGUAAAAGUCUUUUGCAAAGGAAGAAGAAUAUGACGGUACUUUGCGAAUAAGCUCCGGCUAACUACGUGCCAGCAGCCGCGGUAAUACGUAGGGAGCGAGCGUUGUCCGAAUUUACUGGGCGUAAAGCGCACGUAGGCGGACUUUUAAGUUGGUGGUGAAAUGCCGAGGCUCAACCUCGGAACUGCCUCCAAAACUGGAAGUCUUGAGGUAUGGAGAGGGAAUUGGAAUUCCAGGUGUAGCGGUGAAAUGCGUAGAUAUCUGGAGGAACACCCAUGGCGAAGGCGCCGAUCUGGACGGAUUCUGACGCUGAGACGCGAAAGCGUGGGUAGCAAACA